AGGUGCUGCAGCACACCCCCUCCCUCCUUUCAUCUCGCCUUUUGGUCGGGAGGGGGGCAAAGGUAUGAUCGGCACGAGGGCAGUGGAUUUGGUUCCAGCAGAAACAACGAUCGUCCCUGUGUCGGCGGCGGCGUAUCGUUUCUGCAACGCAACACACGGGUCAGAUCAGUAGAUGCUCCGGCAUCAGCUGCCAUGCAUGUUCCUUCAGUUCCCGGGAAGGCUGAGGCUCCAUAGGUUGGCAAUUCGUGUUUCUGAACAGAGCAUGCGAUGUACCUUGCAGAUGCAGGGAUACAAGGGAUGCAGAUGGCGAGAUGCAGACACGGGCAAUUCGUUCUCUUGU
rnacentral:lncRNA from 1 species